rnacentral:rRNA from 1 species
UGGGGAAUAUUGGACAAUGGGCGCAAGCCUGAUCCAGCAAUGCCGCGUGAGUGAUGAAGGCCUUAGGGUUGUAAAGCUCUUUCGCACGCGACGAUGAUAACGGUAGCGUGAGAAGAAGCCCCGGCUAACUUCGUGCCAGCAGCCGCGGUAAUACGAAGGGGGCUAGCGUUGUUCGGAAUUACUGGGCGUAAAGGGCGCGUAGGCGGCCUGUUUAGUCAGAAGUGAAAGCCCCGGGCUCAACCUGGGAAUAGCUUUUGAUACUGGCAGGCUUGAGUUCCGGAGAGGAUGGUGGAAUUCCCAGUGUAGAGGUGAAAUUCGUAGAUAUUGGGAAGAACACCGGUGGCGAAGGCGGCCAUCUGGACGGACACUGACGCUGAGGCGCGAAAGCGUGGGGAGCAAACAGAUUAGAUACCUGUAGUCCACGCCGUAAACGAUGAAUGCUAGACGUCGGGGUGCAUGCACUUCGGUGUCGCCGCUAACGCAUUAAGCAUUCCGCCUGGGGAGUACGGCCGCAAGGUUAAAACUCAAAUGAAUUGACGGGGUCAUAGCUGUUUCCU